AAAGAAACCAACAGGGAUUGCCCUAGUAACGGCGAGUGAAGCGGCAACAGCUCAAAUUUGAAAUCUGGCUUCGGCCCGAGUUGUAAUUUGCAGAGGAAGCUUUAGGCGCGGCACCUUCUGAGUCCCCUGGAACGGGGCGCCAUAGAGGGUGAGAGCCCCGUAUAGUUGGAUGCCUAGCCUGUGUAAAGCUCCUUCGACGAGUCGAGUAGUUUGGGAAUGCUGCUCAAAAUGGGAGGUAAAUUUCUUCUAAAGCUAAAUACCGGCCAGAGACCGAUAGCGCACAAGUAGAGUGAUCGAAAGAUGAAAAGCACUUUGAAAAGAGGGUUAAAUAGCACGUGAAAUUGUUGAAAGGGAAGCGCUUGUGACCAGACUUGCGCCGGGCGGAUCAUCCGGUGUUCUCACCGGUGCACUCCGCCCGGCUCAGGCCAGCAUCGGUUCUCGCGGGGGGAUAAAGGUCCUGGGAACGUAGCUCCUCCGGGAGUGUUAUAGCCCGGGGCGUAAUGCCCUCGCGGGGACCGAGGUUCGCGCAUCUGCAAGGAUGCUGGCGUA
rnacentral:rRNA from 1 species